AGGAGAGCAGUCGGUUUUUUUGUGCAUCCGGUACACCAUUUUUUACUUUAAAAUUUUAAUAUUAAUUUUUUAAUUUUAAUUUAAUAUAAUGGAUAUAUGCUUUAUAAUAUUCAAAAAAUAUAUUGUAAAAAAAUUUUAAAUUUUAAAUUCUAAAUUCUUUUACAUAUAUUUCUAAAAUAUUAUAAUAUAUAUUAUUUAAUUAUAAUUAAAAGGCCAAUUUGCAUAAAAAAUCCACUUAUUUUGGGCUUUUGCAAAACCGGGCCACCUUUUUCAUUUUUGCAGAUUCGGUCCGCUUUUUCGUCCGCCGGACCAAAAUGCCCCUCGUUUACAAAAGCCGCCCGCGUAUUUCUUAACAUACGUAUACUACCCUGCCCUACGGUAUGCCGCGCAUUAAAUGCGCCGCUUCUGCCUUACGCAACCUCUCUCAUUUCUCGGAAUCCGGACCACAUCCGCCCCUCUAUUCGCCGGCCCCGCUGUUUGCUGUUCGGCUUUAAAACUUUAAUACAAUUUCUUAAGAUAAAUGACAAAAACUGCACUCCCCGCAACAGGGAUAAUAGUGCAACGCGAAGAA
rnacentral:lncRNA from 1 species